GAUUCAGCACAGAUAGUCGACCUUCUGCCCGCUCUGACUGGUCCUCAAUGCGCAUCUCACUCAGUUCUUCAUCUACAUCAUCCCAACCCCGCAACUGCUGAAGAGCUAUAACACAACCAGAGGGCAUCACACAAACCCAAGCAUCUAUGGCUAUAUUCAUGGCGAGAACCGGUUAAUCCAGGAGUGCCCCACCCUGCUCCUGGAGAGCUACCGUCCUGCAGAUUCAUACACAGACCUGCACAGAUGCCCACCAGAAAGCGUGCAACAAUGAUGAUCUCAAAUGACCUCAACACUUCACUCACACCCAUCAUUACAGCAGGAACGAUAGAGAAGAUGUUGUUGAACAGAAGUGUACCUUUUCUGUUUUGGAAGGAUGUACAGGACUGGCAGUGUGACAUAGGCGAUGAACUCCCAGAUUUUUCCUGUGAGCAGCAUCCACAGGACAUGGUCAUCAGCAUGGAUGUUUACCCAACACCAGCCAACGGACACCUCAG